rnacentral:rRNA from 1 species
UACGUAGGGUGCGAGCGUUGUCCGGAAUUAUUGGGCGUAAAGAGCUCGUAGGCGGUCUGUCGCGUCGAUCGUGAAAACUUGGGGCUUAACCCUGAGCUUGCGGUCGAUACGGGCAUGACUGGAGUUCGGCAGGGGAGACUGGAAUUCCUGGUGUAGCGGUGAAAUGCGCAGAUAUCAGGAGGAACACCGGUGGCGAAGGCGGCAUCCUGGACCGACACUGACGCUGAGGCGCGAAAGCUAGGGGAGCAAACGGG